AAGAACUCUCCUCUUUGGAGCAAAGCAAGAAAUUUAUAUAAAAGAAUUCUCUCUCUCUCUCUCUUCUUUCUCUCUCUAAACCUCUCUCUAUCUCUUUCCAUAGAACCUCCAACAGUGUCUCUAUUCAUGCAUUAAUCUCUUUUGUUCUUAUUUUACCUUGUCCUUAUUUUUAUUUUUUUAAAUUAUAAUUCUUAAAUUUCAUCUUUUUAUCCUCUCUUGUUAAAAUCUUUUAGUGAUUUUGAUUUUUUUUUCAUCUAUUGCUUUUUUUUUUGUGUUGUUUUGUUAAUCUAUCAAGAGCAAAUAGUGAUCGCUUCAUAUCCAAUUCAAAGCUGAAUCUUGUUUAUUUUUGAUGGAUCAAGUAAUGGGAUUUUGUGCUUUUGACUUCAUGUGAGUGAAUGAGAGAGAUAUGGGAUUAGAAUCUGUUGGUGGGUUCUUCCACUUCUUUGUUCAACCGCAAUUGGGUGUUCUAACUGGACUGUCCAUUACCUGAUCAAUCUGAAUUUUCUGGUGGCGCUGCUUGUGUUGAUUCAUUUGGCAAUGGAGCAAUUCCGGAUAGGAGUUUGAUUAUUGGGGUUUCUUUGCCCUUUUUGUUCUUUUUUAUUUUGGUAGUCAAUGGAUGAGCUGACCACUAAUGAAGCUCAAGAAUGGGAAGCGUCUUCACAACGGUGGCGGCCCAGGCAGCUAGCAUUUAAGACGUAUACGUCGGGCAGUGAACCUGCGUACAAGGCAGAAACUUUGAGGGUUGUAGUGAGAAGACCUUUUGUGGCAAGACUGACCAAAGACAUAGUUGAGACAUAUCAAAUAUGCAAUCCCCAGUUCAAGUAUUCUGAAGAAUUAAAUCCAAAAAGAUAUUUGACCAGCCCAUCAAUUGGCGUCCUGAAUGAUGGUUAUGACAAUGUGAACUCUGAUCUGAUUCUGACUGUAAACUUUGCCUUGGUCAAUCUAGAGACACAACGAAGAUACAUUGUCAAAGAUGUUCUUGGCCAUGGAACUUUUGGGCAGGUGGCUAAAUGCUGGGUUGCAGAAACCAACAGUUUUGUUGCUGUGAAGAUUAUUAAAAAUCAACCAGCUUACUAUCAGCAAGCUUUGGUUGAAGUAUCCAUUUUGACAACGUUAAACAAGAAGUAUGAUCCUGAAGAUAAGCACCACAUUGUUCGCAUCUAUGAUUAUUUUGUAUUUCAGCGGCAUUUGUGCAUUUGCUUUGAACUGCUUGACACAAACCUGUACGAGCUUAUUAAGAUAAAUCAAUUCAGGGGUCUAUCACUGAGCAUUGUCCAAUUGUUCUCUAAACAGAUCUUACAUGGAUUGGCUCUACUAAAAGAUGCUGGAAUAAUUCAUUGUGAUUUGAAGCCUGAAAAUAUUCUUCUAUGCACAAGUGUGAAGACAGCAGAAAUUAAAAUAAUUGACUUUGGAUCAGCUUGCAUGGAGGAUCGUACUGUUUACUCUUACAUCCAGAGUCGUUACUACAGGUCGCCUGAAGUCCUUCUUGGGUAUCAAUAUACUACUGCUAUUGACAUGUGGUCCUUUGGGUGCAUAGUUGCAGAACUGUUUCUUGGAUUGCCGCUCUUCCCUGGGGCUUCAGAAUUUGAUCUUUUGAGGAGAAUGGUUGAAAUACUUGGUGGACAACCCCCCGAUAAUCUACUAAAGGAGGCAAAAAAUACAAGCAAGUUCUUUAAGUGCAUUGGAAAUGUCCACAAUGCAGGCGAUGGUGAAGUUUCUUUUGAUGGCAAAAGUGCUUACCAAGCAUUAACCGUGGAAGAAUAUGAAGCUAGGGAAUUGAAGAAACCAUCUAUCGGAAAGGAGUAUUUCCAUCACAUGAACCUUGAGGCAAUUGUUAAGAACUAUCCUUACAGAAAGAAUCUGCCACAUGAAGAUAUUAUGAAAGAGAGUCGAGUACGAUUAGCUUUGAUUGAUUUCUUAAGAGGGCUUGUUGAGUUUGAUCCUGCAAAGAGGUGGUCCCCUUUUCAGGCUUCAAAACACCCUUUUGUAACAGGGGAGCCUUUCACCUGCCCCUACAAGCCUCCUCCAGAGACUCCUCGCAUGCCUGUUGCUCAACAUUUUAAGGUGGACCAUCACCCGGGCGGUGGGCAUUGGUUUGCUGCUGGUCUCUCUCCUAAUAUUCCGGGCAGGACGAGAAUAUCCCUUCAUAAUAGUCCACAUUUUCAAGUGGUUCCCUAUGCACAUGGCAAUAGUUAUGGAAGUAUAGGAAGCCAUGGUAGUUACAAUGAUGGUAUCGGCCUUGGAAGCAGUUAUGGGAGUUACGGGGAUAGCAGUAAUAUGUUUGCAUACUAUUCACCAGUUGGUCCUUCUGGGAUGAACAUGCAUGCACAAGCUGGUCUGUCGAUGCUUGGGAGUAGUCCAGAUGCAAGACUGAGGUUUAUUCAGUAUUCACAUCCAAAUGGAAUUGGUAUGAGUCCAUCGACAGGAAAUUUUGCGCCACUCCCGCUUGGCACCAGUCCGUCACAAUUCACUCCGCCAAAUUCAUACAAUCAAGUUUCUACCGGUUCUCCAGGACAUUAUGGUCCAACUUCACCAGCAAGAAGCAACUGUCAUGGAUCACCUUUAGGAAAAAUGGCUGCUGUUACCCAAUUCAAUAGAAGGAAAGGUUGGGGGCAUUCUUCCCAUUCUCAAGAGAGUACGCCAUCUUCGCAUUGGCAAGGACACCAUUCUGAUGGUACCAGUGCUUUCCAAGCUGAGGGAAAUCCUUCAGUACUUGGAAGUUCAACUUCACAUUGGCAAUCAAAUUCAAGCGUAGCAAAUUGGAUGCAGCAGCAUGGAGGUAGUGGAACUUCUACUGGUCAUUCUGCCAUCCAGAAUAUGCCUGGCUCUUUCAAGCCUUCUAAUAUGCAGCUCUCUCAAAGUGUGGGGCCAGCUCAUGAUAAGCCUGAGGCUAGCCUGUCAUUGCCAGAUCCAGGGGAUUGGGAUCCCAAUUACAGUGAUGAGCAGCUUCUACAAGAAGAUGGUUCAGAGGCCAGCUCCAUAACCAUUGAGUUCAGCAAAGCCAUGCAUCUUGGUUCAGGUGAUCCAUCGGGUGGUUUUGGAAGAUCUAACCGGACUUCAAACUGGAGCUCUAAUUCAUUGGUUCAAAGACAAAAUGGACCUAUUCAAGCAUUUACAAACGUGGAGGUUGGCAGCCCUCCUUCAGCUCAUGAUAUGCAUGCUGGAUAUGGUCGUUCAGCGUCAAAGCAUUCUCAUUUCAUGCCUCAUAUUUCACAAAACUCGCCAAGCCGUUUAGGACAGCAAUCUCUUCCGCGCUUCAAUCAUGUGAGACCUGCUGUUCGGGGUAGUGAAUGGAAUCAUAUCAAGAUCCAGCCCCCUCAGUCCAGUUUUAAUUCUGGGGCCCCCCUUUCUCCAGGAAAUAGUUCACUCAACAACGGCAUGCCAUGGGGGCGUAGGGCUAAUCAUCCUGUCACAAGCACUCUACCAGGAUCCCGAGGGAGAAAAGACUACGGACGGCUUGCCUAGUUUCAGCUUAGUUUUCUUUCUUUGAGGCUUAUGUUUUGAGUGUUGGAAAGAAAGUUGUACUCGAUGGUUCACAAGCCUAGUGGACUGAUGCUAAGAAAAUCCUCACCCAGACAUGUUCAUUCAUUGUGCUUGCAUAAAUAUAAUUCAUGGAAUCUGAUCUGGUUAUUAAGGUGUAAUUUGCUGCUGCUUUGAAGAAUUUGUGUGGAGUCAAGGGCAAAGGUGACAACGGGAGUAUUCAGCAGUUCAUAUGUUUUCCAAUUACUCAUCAUGUUGAUUUGUUGAACCUCAUACUUGAUAUUAUUGUUGUAAAGCUUAGAAAAGGUGGGACAGGGUGCAGUUUUUGUUUGGUUGACAGUUUCUUUUGAAAUUGCUGAACCCCUCGUACUUAUGGGUUUUUGGAUCCUUUGAACUGUAAGAUUCAUGCUUGGGUGUUCAGUUUAUCAGUAAGAACAGAAUGUAGAAUUUAGGAACAGCUUUCUUGCCUAGCAAAAUCUGUAUGAAAAGGGAGGUACCUAAUGCACCAGGAAAAGAUUGUUUGUUCAUUUGGCUGGUAGCAUCCUCAAACAUAGAAUGAGAAUAUGCCAUUUGCUUGAGCUGUAAUAGUGGUUUUUAUAAUCUUCAAUGGGUAUCUGAGGUUGUCUGCCAUUUGAC